rnacentral:tRNA from 1 species
GAGGGAUAGGUCACUCGGCCAUCGGUGGCGCGCACCCCGCCGGGUUUUGUAUCGUGAAGAAACAAAGUGGUUCCGUCCGCAAUCCCUGACC